AGAAUUCCAGGUGUAGCGGUGAAAUGCGUAGAGAUCUGGAGGAAUAUCGGUGGCGAAGGCGGCCCCCUGGACAAAGACUGACGCUCAGAUGCGAAAGCGUGGGUAGCAAACAGGAUUAGAUACCCUGGUAGUCCACGCCGUAAACGAUGUCUACUUGAAGGUUGGGAUCUUGAAUUCUGGCCUUCGGAGCUAACGCGUUAAGUAGACCGCCUGGGGAGUACGGUCGCAAGAUUAAAACUCAAAUGAAUUGACGGGGGCCCGCACAAGCGGUGGAGCAUGUGGUUUAAUUCGAUGCAACGCGAAGAACCUUACCUGCUCUUGACAUCCAGAGAAGCCAGCAGAGAUGCAGGUGUGCCUUCGGGAANUNUGAGACAGGUGCUGCAUGGCUGUCGUCAGCUCGUGUUGUGAAAUGUUGGGUUAAGUCCCGCAACGAGCGCAACCCUUAUCCUUGUUUGCCAGCACGUAAUGGUGGGAACUCCAGGGAGACUGCCGGUGAUAAACCGGAGGAAGGUGGGGACGACGUCAAGUCAUCAUGGCCCUUACGAGUAGGGCUACACACGUGCUACAAUGGUGCAUACAGAGGGAAGCAAGAGCGCGAGCUGGAGCGGAUCCCAAAAAGUGCAUCGUAGUCCGGAUUGGAGUCUGCAACUCGACUCCAUGAAGUCGGAAUCGCUAGUAAUCGUGGAUCAGAAUGCCACGGUGAAUACGUUCCCGGGCCUUGUACACACCGCCCGUCNUC
rnacentral:rRNA from 1 species